AAUUUCCAUGACAUUUCCACCUGCACACACAUUGUUUAGUGACAGCUUGUCCCGAUUAUAUCUCAUUAGUCAUCGGGAAGCGUGUCUGGAGAGGCUGCAGGUCAGUGGAUGUCAUGACUUUGGAAUGAAGUUCAGUGGGGAAUGAUCCCUGUCAUCAGACCAGCUGCAGGGCUCGGACAAGUGUUUUUCAGCCCCUUGCCAUCAAUAGAGGGCAGUACUGAGCAGUACUGUGUGAAGUCUCCUGCUAAGUGGUUCUUGACGGACAGAUCCAUCUGAUAUGUCCUGUUAAGUCAAGCUGUCUCAGGUCCAGGUAUGCUGAUGAUGGUCCCUCCCAAAAAUACCAUGACCCCGACACCCCUCGUGAAGGUAUGUGCCUACAGGACAUCACUCUCC